rnacentral:rRNA from 1 species
AAAACGACUCUCGGCAAUGGAUAUCUAGGCUCUCGCAUCGAUGAAGAACGUAGCGAAAUGCAAUACUUGGUGUGAAUUACAGAAUCCCGCGAAUCAUCGAGUUUUUGAACGCAAGUUGCGCCCGAAGCCAUUCGGCCGAGGGCAUGUUUGCCUGGGUGUCACGC